rnacentral:rRNA from 1 species
UGGUGGAGUGAUUUGUCUGGUUAAUUCCGAUAACGAACGAGACUCUAGCCUGCUAAAUAGACGGGCGAUCCCUUCGUGGGUCGACCCGAUUUGCUUCUUAGAGGGACAAGUGGCGUUCCUAGUCACGCGAAAUUGAGCAAUAACA